UACGUAGGUGGCAAGCGUUAUCCGGAAUUAUUGGGCGUAAAGCGCUCGCAGGCGGUUUCUUAAGUCUGAUGUGAAAGCCCACGGCUCAACCGUGGAGGGUCAUUGGAAACUGGGAGACUUGAGUGCAGAAGAGGAGAGUGGAAUUCCACGUGUAGCGGUGAAAUGCGUAGAGAUGUGGAGGAACAUCGGUGGCGAAGGCGGCAUCCUGGACCGGUAUUGACGCUGAGGCGCGAAAGCCAGGGGAGCAAAGCGGG
rnacentral:rRNA from 1 species